rnacentral:rRNA from 1 species
GACGAACGCUGGCGGCGUGCUUAACACAUGCAAGUCGAACGGAAAGGCCCUGCUUGCAGGGUACUCGAGUGGCGAACGGGUGAGUAACACGUGGGUGAUCUGCCCUGCACUUCGGGAUAAGCCUGGGAAACUGGGUCUAAUACCGGAUAGGAGCCAUUUUUAGUGUGAUGGUUGGAAAGUUUUUUCGGUGUAGGAUGAGCUCGCGGCCUAUCAGCUUGUUGGUGGGAUAAUGGCCUACCAAGGCGGCGACGGGUAGCCGGCCUGAGAGGGUGGACGGCCACAUUGGGACUGAGAUACGGCCCAGACUCCUACGGGAGGCAGCAGUGGGGAAUAUUGCACAAUGGGCGCAAGCCUGAUGCAGCGACGCCGCGUGGGGGAUGACGGCCUUCGGGUUGUAAACUCCUUUCGCUAGGGACGAAGCUUUUUGUGACGGUACCUAGAUAAGAAGCACCGGCUAACUACGUGCCAGCCGCCGCAGUAA